CCCUCCUGGUGGGCGCGCGCACCUGCCGCCGGCUGCCCGCGUCUCGCGUCCCGCAUCCCGGUGGCGCUCACCGGCCAGCGCGGCACGUCCCUACCUGCGGUGACCGGGUAGAUGGGGGACCUCAAUCCCUACAGCACAGCGCCCAGAAAUUAGACAACUUGCGCAGCCAACAGACGCUUCCAACAGCCUGGCUCCUUGGCUCAAGCCGCUUCUACCUUCAAAGUCAGGAACAAGAGGACCCUUGUGAUGACAUCGGGCCACCCAAUUGGCCCGGGAUACACUCCCUAUUUUAAGUCAGAUGAGCAGCCCUAUGUCCGUCUGCAGCCCUGACUCCCCUUUGCCACGUAGCUGCACAGGUCCAGGGACAAGGACCUGAACAGCUUUGGGGCCUUUCUGUCACUGCCCCAAAAGCCCACAAAAAUGUUUUAAUGCCGGAAGAGAUAAUUGAACUUUUAGAUAAAAAAAAAUGUCUUGAUAUAUAUUAAUAUAUUCAUUGUUAUAUCAAUGCAGUUGCAAAUUAUAAUUAAAAAAACCA